UCACCUUCAUCCUCCCAAAGCCAUGACUCUCUGCCAUAACUCCAUUACCUCUUCCUUGAUUCUCCAACCCCUCAAAACCCAUAAACCCUCGAAGCACAGUCCCCCCAAAACCCUGACCCUCCUCUGCAAUGCCCAUCCCCAACCCCAGCAUAAACCUAAAUUCAACUCCAACAAGAACCCCGCUUCCAGAAAACCCCGAAGAUCUUCAUAUGGCACCUCCAGGAGGUCAGUUCUCAAGAAAACUUUCAGCCAAGAGCAGGUGAUGUUCUCCGGUCCGGUCUCCGAUGACCCGGUCGUUGCAGUUGUCGGUGGAGGCAUGGCUGGGAUGAUUUGUGCUCUCACUUUGGGGAAUAGAGGGAUUCGGUCGACGGUGUUCGAUACGGGCAUUCAUGGAUUGGGAGGGAGAAUGGGAACCAGAAUAAUUGAUCCCCUGCCGUUGGUAUUUGAUCAUGCAGCUCAGUUCUUCACCGUUAGUGAUCCACAUUUUGCAGAGUUGGUUGAUGUUUGGUUAAAUAAUGGUCUGAUUCGGCAGUGGCAUGGCGCAAUUGGAAAGCUUAAAGCGGGUGGUUGCUUUGUGCCACUUCCUUCUUCUCUUCCCAGAUAUAUAGGUGUCAAUGGGAUGCGCCCCCUUGCGGAUUCAAUACUUUCUCAGACUUGUAUGGUUAAUGUCGUGAGACCUUGCUGGAUAAGUAAUUUUGAGCCAUUUAACGGGGUGUGGCACUUAAGUGAGAACAGGAAAGCUCGUGGGCAGUUUGAUGCAAUCGCCAUUGCACAUAAUGGGAAAUGUGCGAAUCGCUUGGUUUCUUCUUCAGGCUUGCCACUUAUUGCAAGACAGAUGAAGAGGCUGGAAUUGAGUUCCAUAUGGGCUCUUCUUGCUGCUUUUGAGGAUCCUCUUCCUAUCCUAGGCAGUGCAUCUAAUUUGCAUUUUGAAGGAGCUUUUGUAGAAGGAGUUGAUUCUCUCUCCUGGAUGGCAAACAACACAAUGAAACUAUCAGGUUCUAGCAGCAGUGGGCCUCACUGUUGGACCUUUCUCAGCACAGCAGCUUUUGGAAAGCAGAAUAAGGUUCCACAGGAAAAUAUCCCCACUGCCACAGCCGAGAAGGUGAAGGCAAGCAUGCUCAAGGGUGUUGAGAUUGCACUAGGACUAUCAGAAGGAUCACUGAAAAAGCCCUUCUAUACUCGAGUGCAGUUGUGGGGUGCGGCCCUUCCCACCAAUACUCCAGCUGUCUCUUGCAUUUUUGAUCCUCAUGGAAGAGCAGGUAUUUGUGGUGAUUGGCUACUAGGGUCAAGUAUGGAAGCGGCAGCCCUAAGUGGCAUGGCUCUUGCCAAUCAUUCAGAUUGCAGACUACUUCCAGAGUGGUGGAGCCUGUCCAGAUGAGUUUGCCAUUGGUUUAAAUAAUGAAUUUCAGCCACUUGAAGGACAUGAUAUCGGACAAUUUCUGGGGUUGGAAUCCAAAGAACAAACAAAUGAGGCUCGGGCUUAUCAACUUAGCACUUGAAAGGUCCUGAGCUUUGGCUCAUUUUCAGCAUUAUUUAGUAAAAAAGGCAAUCAGGAGUUGCAUUAAUUGCUAAGAAAGAUCCUGAGCUUCAUGUUAUGAAAGCAACUAGAAUGAUGUGCUGCUGCUGCGUGAAGAUUUUGAGGCUGUUAAAAGCUUCCCUGGGGAACCUAUGAGAAGGAUCCACAUUCUAAGAAGUUGAUUGGGACAAGCCAUAGGAAGGGGAGACUGUAUGUGUUAGAAGAGCUUCGACUCAAGGAAUUUGCUGCUUCUAGUGUUGACUUUUCUUCUUUUCGUUUGAGUUCCCAUUCUUCUACCUUUUAUUUAUGGCAUUCACGCCUUGGACAUGUUUCUAGUUCUCGACUGAGAUUUUUGGCUUCCACAGGUGUCUUAAGAAAUUUAUCUUCUCAUGAUAUUUCUGAUUGUAGUGGUUGUAAGCUUGCAAAUUCUAUGCUUUGUCAUUUAAUAAAAGUACAUCAGUAUUUCUUUCA